CGAGUCGGUCGGAUGAUCGCGGGCAGCAAUGUUCGAGGAAAGUCCGGACUCCAUAGGGCAAGAGUGGUGGAUAACGUCCACCUGGGGUGACCCACGGGAAAGUGCAACAGAAAGUAAACCGCCUAGCAAUAGGUAAGGGUGAAACGGUGAGGUAAGAGCUCACCAGUACUUAUGGCGACAUAGGUAGCUAGGUAAACCCCACUCGGAGCAAGACCAAGACGCAGG
rnacentral:RNase_P_RNA from 1 species